AUACAUUUAAAUAUUUUAUCAAAACAAUCCUUUGAGACAAUAACAAAGAUAUUAUUUCGUGUUGUUUUCUUCGAACAUUAUUGGGCUGACGAGAGCAAUGCGGUUCGAACUGGGCGAGUCCGGUACACAGACGGGUCUUUGCCAGUGGCGCCGCCCUCGCGUGGCGCCCCGAACUAAGGCUGAGCCUCCACAGGUCUAAGCGGUAUCUAAGCGGAAAUGAUAUUUUACUUGAACAAAGCGGCUGUCGCGAGUGGGAACUGACCCACAACCUUUUGCUAACCUUUGUAUCAUCUUCGAUGUACCUAAUUAUCAUAAUUGUCUUAAAUAAAAUUGGAAAUUAUCUUCAAAAUUAAAUAUAAGAUGAGAAUCUUCAAUAUUUAAAAACAGUAGGUAAAUUAAAAAGAUAUGCGGAAAGAUUUUUCGUCUGUUCAGAUCGUGUCUUACCAAUUGUUACAUGUGAGUAACCUAGUUGGUCAAGUGCAUUCGAUCAAUGACCUUUCUGUCUAAAUACGUCACUAAGUCUGCCUUGGGAACAGGCAUUCAUUGUUAUAAUCUCAGUGCAAAAAUAGAUUACGUUUAUUUGCGAGAACUUUUAAACAUACCUAAUUAUGACAAUGACUUGAGAGCAUUUGCCUGUAAUGUGACGCUACAAUCGGGCAUCAGUGAGGCAUGUGAACCGAGCUAAAUUACAGUGCGCAACCUGUAAUGUUACAGAUUCGAACAUAAAUGGCAUUGCAUUACAAACAAAUGCUCAAUCAGUCAGUGAGCUAUUGUAAAGUAAUGCUCAACACCAAAUCUGAAAUGUUACAGUACAAGCAAAUGCACCAGGUGUGGGAGACCUUUAGGUUCGAGUACUUUACGUGAUUUUAGCACAUUAUCAACUGCGGUUUUGGGAUUCGAAUCUCGCAACGCAAUAAAUAUUAUGUGUUAAAAAUACAUUUGUACGUAAAUUUGGUAUAGUAAUGGAUGAUGUAGAGACGAUGGCAUGAUAAACCUUGCCUAGUUAUUAAAUAGUAUGAGGGUUUUUGCAACAAAAUUGUCAAAAGUUCUGUCGACUGUAGUAGACUGCACAUAAUUUAACAGUCUGGAGUCUAUUAUAGUAUAAGUCUAGGUAUAAUAUUGCGGUGGUGGGUUAUCUGUAUUUUUCCAAUUAAGUACUUAGCUUUAUGGACCGUGGCAAACUCAUUCUUUCAAUACGUUUUGCCUAUUUUUCCACUGUAAUUAAGAUGCAUCUAUGAGAUAUUAUCUAGCAUCUACAAAUCAGUCUACAAACACCCAAGCCACGUGAGCAGUAUGAACAACAAAAUAUUCAUUAUGCCGUUUUUGUCACUCAUUGACGUCAUUGUGAAUCAGCCAUUAAUUUACAUUAAUAUAUUAAAUAUUCUUGUUUAUUAAAGUAUACUUUA